GACGAACGCUGGCGGCGUGCUUAACACAUGCAAGUCGAACGGAAAGGCCCUGCUUGCAGGGUACUCGAGUGGCGAACGGGUGAGUAACACGUGGGUGAUCUGCCCUGCACUUCGGGAUAAGCUUGGGAAACUGGGUCUAAUACCGGAUAGGAGCCAUCUUUAGUGUGGUGGUUGGAAAGUUUUUUCGGUGUAGGAUGAGCUCGCGGCCUAUCAGCUUGUUGGUGGGGUAAUGGCCUACCAAGGCGGCGACGGGUAGCCGGCCUGAGAGGGUGUACGGCCACAUUGGGACUGAGAUACGGCCCAGACUCCUACGGGAGGCAGCAAUGGGGAAUAUUGCACAAUGGGCGCAAGCCUGAUGCAGCGACGCCGCGUGGGGGAUGAAGGCCUUCGGGUUGUAAACUCCUUUCGCUAGGGACGAAGCUUUUUUGUGACGGUACCUAGAGAAGAAGCACCGGCUAACUACGUG
rnacentral:rRNA from 1 species